rnacentral:rRNA from 1 species
AUCUAUGGCCACACAACCCUGAAGGUACCUGAUCUCCUCUGGUUUCAGAAACCAGACAGAGUUAAGCAUUGUUAGUUCUUGGAUUGGAGGACAGAUUUGGCAUCUAAUGGGAAAGAGGUU